GGGCGUGUGGCUCAGUUGGUAGAGCGCCCGCUUAGCAUCUCCUCCUAUUCUUACGAGUGAAUAAGUUACUGCGGAAGGUCCCCGGUUCGAUUCCGGGCUCGUCCA